ACGGAGGGUCCAAGCGUUAAUCGGAAUUACUGGGCGUAAAGCGCGCGUAGGCGGUUUAGCAAGUUGUAUGUGAAAGCCCUGGGCUCAACCUAGGAACUGCAUCCAAAACUACUAAGCUAGAGUACGAGAGAGGAGAGUAGAAUUUCUGGUGUAGCGGUGAAAUGCGUAGAUAUCAGAAGGAAUACCAAUGGCGAAGGCAGCUCUCUGGCUCGUAACUGACGCUGAGGUGCGAAAGCGUGGGUAGCAAACAGG
rnacentral:rRNA from 1 species